GGGUAAUGUCUACUGUACCUUUAUCACUGUAGGCACUCGGCCAUGCUGUGGGUGUAGUCACCUUAGACGCUAGUCGUCAAGGGUGUGGUGAGAGGCGGGGUUAGAUGCCCC
rfam:Paenibacillus sp. MSt1 Contig_31, whole genome shotgun sequence.